AUACGUAGGUGGCAAGCGUUGUCCGGAUUUACUGGGUGUAAAGGGCGUGUAGGCGGAGAUGCAAGUCAGGAGUGAAAUCUAGGGGCUCAACCCCUAAACUGCUUUUGAAACUGUAUCCCUUGAGUAUCGGAGAGGCAGGCGGAAUUCCUAGUGGAGCGGUGAAAUGCGUAGAUAUUAGGAGGAACACCAGUGGCGAAGGCGGCCUCCUGAACGACAACCGACGCUGAGGCGCGAAAGCGUGGGGAGCAAAAAGUAUUAGAUACCCUGGUAGUCCACGCUGUAAACGAUGAAUACUAGGUGUGGGGGGACUGACCCCCUCCGUGCCGCAGUUAACACAAUAAGUAUUCCACCUGUGGAGUACGAUCGCAAGAUUGAAACUCAAAGGAAUUGACGUGG
rnacentral:rRNA from 1 species